AUGUCAGUAGCGCAUUGAAUAGCGCAUUGGACUUUUACUCCAAAAAUCGUGGGUUAUAAUCCCCAUCUGGGAUG